CAAUAGCGUAUAUUUAAGUUGUUGCAGCUAAAAAGCUCGUAGUUGGAUUUCGGAUGGGAUUUGCCGGUCCGUCGUUACGAUGUGCACUGGCCAGUCCUAUCUUGUUGUCGGGGACUAGCUCCUUGGAUUCACUUCCUGGGACUAGGAGCUGACGAGGUUACUUUGAGUAAAUUAGAGUGUUCAAAGCAAGCCUACGCUCUGAAUACAUUAGCAUGGAAUAACACGAUAGGACUCUGGCUUAUCUUGUUGGUCUGUGAGACCAGAGUAAUGAUUAAGAGGGACAGUCGGGGACAUUCGUAUUUCAUUGUCAGAGGUGAAAUUCUUGGAUUUAUGAAAGACGAACUUCUGCGAAAGCAUUUGUCAAGGAUGUUUUCAUUA
rnacentral:rRNA from 1 species